GUGGGGAAUCUUCCGCAAUGGACGAAAGUCUGACGGAGCAACGCCGCGUGAGUGAUGAAGGUCUUCGGAUUGUAAAGCUCUGUUAAUCGGGACGAAAGAGCCUAGUGUGAAUAAUGCUAGGAAGUGACGGUACCGGAAUAGAAAGCCACGGCUAACUACGUGCCAGCAGCCGCGGUAAUACGUAGGUGGCAAGCGUUGUCCGGAAUUAUUGGGCGUAAAGCGCGCGCAGGCGGAUCUGCCAGUCUGUCUUAAAAGUUCGGGGCUUAACCCCGUGAUGGGAUGGAAACUACAGAUCUAGAGUAUCGGAGAGGAAAGUGGAAUGCCUAGUGUAGCGGUGAAAUGCGUAGAUAUUAGGAAGAACACCAGUGGCGAAGGCGACUUUCUGGACGAAAACUGACGCUGAGGCGCGAAAGCCAGGGGAGCGAACGGGAUUAGAAACCCGGGUAGUCC
rnacentral:rRNA from 1 species